rnacentral:rRNA from 1 species
ACUCCUACGGGAGGCAGCAGUGGGGAAUCUUAGACAAUGGGCGCAAGCCUGAUCUAGCCAUGCCGCGUGAGUGAAGAAGGCCCUAGGGUCGUAAAACUCUUUCGCCAGGGAUGAUAAUGACAGUACCUGGUAAAGAAACCCCGGCUAACUCCGUGCCAGCAGCCGCGGUAAUACGGAGGGGUUAGCGUUGUUCGGAAUUACUGGGGCGUAAAGCGUACGUAGGCGGAUUAGUCAGUCAGAGGUGAAAUCCCAGGGCUCAACCCUGGAACUGCCUUUUGAUACUGCUAGUCUUGAGUUCGAGAGAGGUGAGUGGAAUUCCAAGUGUAGAGGUGAAAUUCGUAGAUAUUUGGAGGAACACCAGUGGCGAAGGCGGCUCACUGGCUCGAUACUGACGCUGAGGUACGAAAGUGUGGGGAGCAAACAGGAUUAGAUACCCUGGUAGGAUAGCG